rnacentral:rRNA from 1 species
UACGUAGGCAGCAAGAGUUGUUCGGAGUUACUGGGCGUAAAGGGUGUGUAGGCGGCCUGUUAAGUUCCGUGUGAAAUCUCCCGGCUCAACCGGGAGGGUGCGCGGAAAACUGGCGGGCUAGAGUGCGGGAUGGGAGAGUAGAAUUCCUGGUGUAGCGGUGAAAUGCGUAGAUAUCAGGAGGAAUACCGGUGGUGUAGACGGCUCUCUGGACCGCAACUGACGCUGAAACACGAAAGCGUGGGUAGCAAACAGG